ensembl:lncRNA
AUUUUCUUUAAUUUGUAGUUUAUGGUGAUUUCUUUCCUCAUUGUAAAUGUAAGUUUUAUAACUCAUUUUGUAUUCACAAAUUUGGGUUCUUUUUCUUAAACAGAGCCCCCAAAUUGUGUAAGUUUUAGCCCCACAAAACCUGGACCUUCCCCUGAUUUAUGCCCAUUUCGCAGGUGAGAAAACAAACUCUGGCCAAGUCUCGCCCUUACCCUGGGUCACACUGUUAGAAAGUGACAGAGCCGGGACACAAAGCCAGUGCUUUUCCUUCCUCACGAUACUGGCUCGUUCUCCCAGAGCCUGAAUGCAUUGGAUAAACCCCCUACAUUUCCUCUGCGGAGGCAGAAAGAAAGCAAGAUAGAGCAAUUGAAAAACGCAGAGGACUCGCUCAGGUUUCUAAGAGGGAUUCAGCGCGGCUUAUAGCGUCCUUCCCAUUCCCCUCAGGACCCUCGUCUGAACAGAAUUCAGUUGACGGGCAGCACUGGCGGCCCUGUCCCAGACUCAGAGUCAAGUACAUCCAUGGGAGGUAAAGACUGGGCACAACAAACGUGCUCUGGGAAUUCCUGCUCGCAGCUUCCUCCUGAGCACCUGCUGCCUGCCAGGCGCUCACCCCUGUACUUGUCUUUAUCCACAUGAACGUUUCUCCUUUUUUUUAAGGCCGAGCGGGUAGAAUACUCAGAGUGGCAUGUCCAGUAUCACAGGGCUGGUAAGAAACAGACACAGGCUGCAAACCAGAAAUCCUCCAAAGCCCUCUCCCAUUCGCCAGGAGGCUGCGGAAUUCAGACAGAUAAUCACCUUCUCAGGCCUGGAGGCAAAGCCGGAGAACCAUUAGUGGAAAGCGGAGAGGGAGGAGACUGAGGCACAGAGAGGCAGAAUCCCCCCAAAAGAAAUUUCCUUCAGGAAGAUGUCACCAUGCCCAGCGCCCUUUGAACACAAGGAACUCAGCGGGAGAGGAGGUGACGUGCCAAUCACUAGGAUGUCAGCGUCCACUUGUCCAUCAGAGGCUCCUGCAUCCCAGUCACGCAAGUAUCCGUUCACGUAGUCAUUUGUUCUGCAUUUGCUCAAGCACGUCAAGCCGCCGGCUUCCUGGCCAAGUGUGGGAGAGACGAGGGGAGAGACCUGGGCUCCGUAAGUGGCACUAAGAGGACACAAGGCACAAGUGGGAGGAGAAUAGAAGACGGGGAUCUAAGGAAGGGAGCGUGGGCAGCAUUUAAUUAAAUUGUGAAUACGUUUCAAGCUUUCUUUUCUUUACAAUGAGGCUCUGCCUGAUUGAAUUUCAGAACCUUGGAGUUUCUGUUCAAAAUGCCUUCCGAAAUUAGCACUGGGCCUCUGCAGCAUCCCCUGAGGUGCCCCAGGGCACUGCACCUCCCCUCCUCGGGCACCUGCUCCUGGGGGCUCUCUCAUCCUGGAGGGGGUGGGAGUUACCAGACAGGGCUCUGACCCCAGCUCUUUCUGGAGGGAGCUAGGUGGCUCUGGAAAGUGGUCACUCCCUGGGUCUCCAUUUAUCCCCGGUGAAAUUAGCAGGAAAGUGGAGCUGGGAUUUGGGGGGAAAGCCUGAAUAUCCUUUGACGGCUCUGAAAGGGAGGGCAUUGUUGUGACAAGGCCAGGCCUGUGAGCCUCUGAGCCCAUAACCACUGCUCCUCGUCCGUUUGACUCUCCCAGUGCUUUCUCAUCUAUUCUGUGAAAUCUUACUUCUUCCCUUCAAGACCAUUCUGGUCUGGAGCUCCUGUUGCGGCACAGCGGGUUAAGAACCGACUAGUAUCCAUGAUGAUCCCGGUUUGAAACCUGCUCUCGCUCAGUGGGUUGGGAUUCCGGCGUUGCUGUGGCCGUGGUAUAGGUCACAGAUGCGGCUGUGUUCGACCCUUAGCCCGGGAACUUCCACAUGCUGUAGGUGUGGCCCUAAAAAGAAAGAAAAAAAAUGACCUUUCUGUUCUAAGAAAAGUGAAGUUUUAGAGGAGGUUUGAGGCUUCCCAGAAGCCUCAGAAUAAGUCAGUGUAGAAACUAGAAAUCAGACCCAGGACCCUGGGCCAGGGAUCCAAUCAUUCCUUGCUUCCUUCUUUCCAUACCUUCUGGGUACCAGGUGCACAGCAAUAAACUGGGCCUGGUGCCUGCUGGCA